rnacentral:tRNA from 1 species
GCAGCCGUGGUGGAAUUGGCAGACACGCCAGACUUAGGAUCUGGUGCCGUAAGGCAUGGGAGUUCAAGUCUCCCCGGCUGUACAA